UUUGAUCAUGGCUCAGAUUGAACGCUGGCGGCAUGCCUUACACAUGCAAGUCGAACGGCAGCACGGGAGCAAUCCUGGUGGCGAGUGGCGAACGGGUGAGUAAUACAUCGGAACGUGCCCAAUCGUGGGGGAUAACGCAGCGAAAGCUGUGCUAAUACCGCAUAAGAUCUACGGAUGAAAGCAGGGGAUCGCAAGACCUUGCGCGAAUGGAGCGGCCGAUGGCAGAUUAGGUAGUUGGUGAGGUAAAGGCUCACCAAGCCUUCGAUCUGUAGCUGGUCUGAGAGGACGACCAGCCACACUGGGACUGAGACACGGCCCAGACUCCUACGGGGGGCAGCAGUGGGGAAUUUUGGACAAUGGGCGCAAGCCUGAUCCAGCCAUGCCGCGUGCAGGAUGAAGGCCUUCGGGUUGUAAACUGCUUUUGUACGGAACGAAACGGCUCUUUCUAAUAAAGAGGGCUAAUGACGGUACCGUAAGAAUAAGCACCGGCUAACUACGUGCCAGCAGCCGCGGUAAUACGUAGGGUGCAAGCGUUAAUCGGAAUUACUGGGCGUAAAGCGUGCGCAGGCGGUGAUGUAAGACAGUUGUGAAAUCCCCGGGCUCAACCUGGGAACUGCAUCUGUGACUGCAUUGCUGGAGUGCGGCAGAGGGGGAUGGAAUUCCGCGUGUAGCAGUGAAAUGCGUAGAUAUGCGGAGGAACACCGAUGGCGAAGGCAAUCCCCUGGGCCUGCACUGACGCUCAUGCACGAAAGCGUGGGGAGCAAACAGGAUUAGAUACCCUGGUAGUCCACGCCCUAAACGAUGUCAACUGGUUGUUGGGUCUUCACUGACUCAGUAACGAAGCUAACGCGUGAAGUUGACCGCCUGGGGAGUACGGCCGCAAGGUUGAAACUUAAAGGAAUUGACGGGGACCCGCACAAGCGGUGGAUGAUGUGGUUUAAUUCGAUGCAACGCGAAAAACCUUACCCACCUUUGACAUGUACGGAAUUUGCCAGAGAUGGCUCAGUGCUCGAAAGAGAACCGUAUCACAGGUGCUGCAUGGCUGUCGUCAGCUCGUGUCGUGAGAUGUUGGGUUAAGUCCCGCAACGAGCGCAACCCUUGUCAUUAGUUGCUACAUUUAGUUGGGCACUCUAGUGAGACUGCCGGUGACAAACCGGAGGAAGGUGGGGAUGACGUCAAGUCCUCAUGGCCCUUAUAGGUGGGGCUACACACGUCAUACAAUGGCUGGUACAAAGGGUUGCCAACCCGCGAGGGGGAGCUAAUCCCAUAAAACCAGUCGUAGUCCGGAUCGCAGUCUGCAACUCGACUGCGUGGAGUCGGAAUCGCUAGUAAUCGUGGAUCAGAAUGUCACGGUGAAUACGUUCCCGGGUCUUGUACACACCGCCCGUCACACCAUGGGAGCGGGUUCUGCCAGAAGUAGUUAGCCUAACCGCAAGGAGGGCGAUUACCACGGCAGGGUUCGUGACUGGGGUGAAGUCGUAACAAGGUA
rnacentral:rRNA from 1 species